ACCUGGAAUAGCUCAGUCGGUAGCUCCUGAGACUUGUAAUCUCAGAGUUGUGGGUUCAAGUCGCAUGUUGGGCA